rnacentral:tRNA from 1 species
UCCCUGGUGGUCUAGUGGCUAAGACUCUACACUCCCAAUACAGGAAUCCUGGGUUUGAUCCCUGGUCAAGGAA